AAUAGAUGUCACCGUUAGUCUGUCAAGAAUGGAUCUAGCUCCCAGGUAACAGAACAGAAUCACGAUACGAAACAUUUAACCAAACUCCGGUAUGGCGUCCUCUGGUUGUGUUCCAGUUUUGUUAUGUCUACUACCUGGAGUCUUACCUCAAGUACAAGCGCAGUGGGGCGAUUAUUUUCACGGAUACAGCUCACAAGAAGUAUUUUACACUGACUAUGUCCAUGAG